rnacentral:rRNA from 1 species
GACGAACGCUGGCGGCGUGCUUAACACAUGCAAGUCGAACGGAAAGGCCCUGCUUUUGUGGGGUGCUCGAGUGGCGAACGGGUGAGUAACACGUGAGUAACCUGCCCUUGACUUUGGGAUAACUUCAGGAAACUGGGGCUAAUACCGGAUAGGAGCUCCUGCUGCAUGGUGGGGGUUGGAAAGUUUCGGCGGUUGGGGAUGGACUCGCGGCUUAUCAGCUUGUUGGUGGGGUAGUGGCUUACCAAGGCUUUGACGGGUAGCCGGCCUGAGAGGGUGACCGGCCACAUUGGGACUGAGAUACGGCCCAGACUCCUACGGGAGGCAGCAGUGGGGAAUAUUGCACAAUGGGCGGAAGCCUGAUGCAACAACGCCGCGUGCGGGAUGACGGCCUUCGGGUUGUAAACCGCUUUCGCCUGUGACGAAGCGUGAGUGACGGUAAUGGGUAAAGAAGCACCGGCUAACUACGU